GGGGUUGUGGCUCAGUGGUAGAGCGCUCGCCUAGCAUGUGCGAGGCCCUGGGUUCAAUCCUCAGCACCA
rnacentral:tRNA from 1 species